UUCGAGUGAUGUAUACCAAAGGACAGACAAUGUGGAAGAAAGGAAAGGAGUGACGAUCGACCUUGGGAAUUAGGAAAUGAAGCAAAGUGGGGAACAGAUCUGUCCUAUUUGCCUUACCACCCCAUUUGUGCGCGCGGAGAGCUUGAGACAUCUCUCAUCCUACUCUUCGUCAACUUAGAAUCGAAGAUAUCAAAUGGAGGAGGAGGUUCUGUCGACCUGUGGCUUGUGGGGCGCCAUGCCGAGCCUCCCCGGUAGGCUCGAGGGGCUUCUGCGUCGUCACGGCAACAUCCUGCCCAACGGGGCAGAAGACGAGUUACCACUCAUCAAGCAGGAUGUCGAGAAGAUAAUCUCCAUUCUCCAUGGAUACAGCAAGCCAAAACUGGAGGACAAUGCCAUGGUGGUGAGGUGCUGGAUGAAGGAGGUGCGAGAGCUGUCCUACGACAUCGAGGACUGCAUCGACCACUAUGAGCAUGCCAUGGCCAACUCUCGAAGCGGAUUUAAUGAUAAUAUUCGCCGCCGUAAGUUCAACCGGCGGCAUGGGAACAAGCUGCCACCUUGGGUUCAAGAGAAGCUGAAGCAGCGGCUAUGGAUGGCCAACAAGAUGAGAGAGUUCAGCACACGCGCGCAGGAGGCGCUUCAACGCCAUGCCAUGUACAGCAACCAUGCAUGGCGUAGCCACCACCGCUGCCAUUGCUUCUACUAACACCUGUGGUAUCGAUGUAUCUUCUAGCUCUUCUUUGCGUCCUGUGCGGUGCGAGGAACGUGCCGAGGACGUCCUUGUUGGGGUUGACUCCGCCAUGAACAAGCUCGAGGACUAUCUGUCUGGACACGCAGGAGAGGAGAAGCUCAGGGUGUUGUCUAUUGUUGGAUUUGGAGGAAUCGGGAAGACCACUCUUGCCAACGAGCUGUACAGAAAAAUUGGACGGCAAUUUGAGUGCCGGGCAUUUGUGCGGGCAUCCCAGAAGCCUGAUAUGAGGAGAUCCUCACCAGCAUUCUCUCGCAGCUUCGGCCGCACCAGCCACCUGACCAUCGGAAGGUGCAUAGCCUAAUUUCCAGUAUCAGGGCCCAUCUGCAAGAUAAGAGAAGCUCGAACGAGACCGAGAAAAGUGCAGUUGCUCAAGCAAUCGGAAUAAUUAGUCUGCCCAAUGGAUGGCCGCCAAUGCUAUGUUGUACUACGUACUGAUGUGUUUCGGCGAACCGAAGAUUUUGCUUUAAGGGAUUAUACAUUAAUUAUAAAAGAGCUUGGCAUGUCAGGUGGGGACUUUCAUACCUA